UGUACUUGUUUAGUGAAACUGGAAGUUCAGCUUGAUGACAUAUUUGAGAUUAUGAUUGAGAUUAUGAUUGAGUAAAUUCAUGUCUGCUUACACCAAAUUACCAUAUAAUGCUUAUCAAGUGUCAGAAGGAAAAAUUAUGUGGAAUGGUCUCCAUAAAAUGCUAAUUCAGAAGUCCCACUAUACAGUCCCACUGUGAGGGGACGGACUUCUUGAUCUUCAUAAAUAGAAUUAGAAAUAAAGGUAUAAAUUUCAAGAAAUAACGUGUACAUUCUAAUAGCAACAGUUUGAUUUUUGGUUACAUUGCUUGUGUACGUUUUUGGUGUAGUAGAGUAACCCUUGACUCUUCCAGCCAUUCAUGAGACAAGAUAUGCUUCUUAAAAUGUUGGUGUUAAAAUUCAAAUUGUGGCUCAUAUAUAGAACAUAUAUAAAGCAGUUUCUAUCCAGUGUUAAUGUUUGGCAUUUGCACCCAUAUUAAUAUUUCAGAUUGGGGGCUUAGAAAUAUUUACACUGUCCCUUUGAUUUUUUUUGCUGUUUAACUUUAUCCCCUAUGAACCAGAUACUUCAAACUUAAUGAGCAGCUUCCAAGUACCAAACCAGCAUGGACUACAGGAAAUUAUAUCUUGUUUGCAAAACAUUAUCAUGUGGGAAAACAUAACUAUGAAGGUCUUGUCCUAAAUACUGUGGCCGAAUAAAUAACUACCAUACCACUUACUGUAGAUAGAAGUGGUGGUAGCAGCUCUGUAGUUCAGGUUGCACUAAGAUUUUUUACUUAAAGUAGCGAUUUGAAUAAUCUUUCAGACUAAAAUGAAAGCACUUAAUACCAAAUUUGGCAAACCUAAAAGAAUUUUCCAAAGUAUUUUUAUGGAUUAAAAAGUUGCUACAUUUAAUUAUUCAAAAAUAGAUUUGUAAUGGUCUCACUAAUCUUUUCCCCUUUCUAAUGUUUGUGUUGGCGACAUUUUAAAACCCACACUUUUGGAACAUACUACUUGUACUAGUUGCCCCAGAUUUGUUUGUCUUCAUUUGUCUUAAGUUCGGUCUAAUAGAGGCUGAUGAAGAACUUUAAUGUUGCUGGCUAUUUCAUUCUCCAGUACUGUCUUGACUGCAUUUGUGCUCUGCACACAGCUUGCUGAACUAGGGAGAUAGGCCUUAGCAGACACUGAAAGGCUGACCUGGUGAACCAUAGGAGUUCAUAAGCUGGGGUCAUUUGCAGUAAGUGUGGCUUCACUUAUUCAGGGCCUCUGUGGGGAAAGCAGUGGCUUUUUAGAUACUUAGGGUGGAUGCAGUGGGCCAUAACCAAGUCAUCCGGCUUUCUCCAGCCCCACCACUCUGUCACGCUUGCUGACUUUAUUCAUGUUAACAUUGUGUAAAAGUAUUCUACGAAAUAUUCCUCCUCAGAUGUCACAUUGCAGGAUUCCCCAAUACAUCCAAAGCGUACAUUGAUAGCUACAGUGCAUCACCUUGUAUUCAGAAAAUACGCAUUUCUCCCUAAUUUAUCUGGCCUACAUUUCAAGCCUCUGUCUGUGACUCAACUCUUUGAACUCAGGAUUUUAGAUGGUCCUUAAACAGUAUAUGAUAAUCAUAGGGGUUUUUUUGUUUUUUUUUAAACCAUGCCUUAGUGAUCUUUUAACUUAGUUUCUUGGUUGCCUUAUUUAACCUUUUACUAAUACAUGAGUAACAGCCCUAUUCAGUGGGAAAUCGGUUCCCAAAACGUUCUAACAAGGAUUCUCUCUUGUCUGCUUUUCUGGUUAGUUGGUUUUGAUAGUUUGAACUUGUGCAAACUUUCACUCAGGAUACUGUUUUAGUGUGGUUCAGUUGUGAUUUUCCUUAAAAGUAAGGGCUUAUAUAACACAGCAAUGAAGACUAUUGUUACGUAGGUCAUUUCAAUUCAUGUGGUGUUGGGAGGGCAGGAUUGAUUCUUCUCACAGUGAGACUCCAUACAUGUUACCUAUCUCCCCCCCAAGUAGAGAGAAUGAGCUUUUUUAAGACAUGCUGAUUUUGGAUCAUACAUUAAAGGACAACUUGUUUUGUCAAAUAGCUUUUUGUUUUCAUCCUACCUUUUAAGGAAUUCACAAAAGGCUGAUCUCAAUAACCUACAACUGCCUGCAGUAAUAUCCAGCCCUUUUUUCUGACGCAAUACAACCGGGGUAACUGUAGGUCUACAGAAGGGCAUUUCUCAAUAUGCCAUCAAUCACUGGAGGCCAAGGUUUCCUGAAGAGCUUCUCCUAUACAAUAUUUAAUAACUUUUUAGUCUCAUGGAAGAAUCUUCUGAUCUGGGAUCUGACUGAUGGAUUAACGAACACUUUGGAAGCAAAUAAAACAUAGGGCUCAUCUAAACAUAAAAGGUGUACUGCUUUAACUAGCAUGGAUUCAGUUAUACUGGUAUAAUUGUAUUUGUACAGUUUAUUCCUGUAGGGGAAGAGGAAUAAGCUAUACUCCUACAAACAUUCUUAUAAAAGCCCACGGAUGAUCAGUUUAACUUUAUUUAAACAAACAAACAAAAUCAUUUUCCUUGCCAAAAAUUACACUGGUAAAACAUAAGUGUAGAGCAGGCCUUAGUGUGAUGGUGCCUAAAUUGCUUCCCCUGUAUAAGCCCUGCAACUGCUUCACCGUUCUGAUCUGCUGCAGUUGCAACAGUUGUCUUCAGCUGCUCUGCUCAACAGGUUAUUGGAUGUAAACCCUUACAUUUUCUCUUCCCAGCUGUCCUAAGAAAUAGUGGUGAUACCUGCACCCUUGGUAGCAAAAGUGUUGAGCCCUAAUGGAAAAAGACUGGUUUGCCACCCUUUGUUAGAGGUUUUCAGAGUCCAGAGUGCCUAUCUAAGGAUUGAAUGACUGGUCUAGUCUCAGAAGAGAGCUGAGUGAGGUUCUGCGGAGAUAUGGAGAAAGCCCAUGAACUCCUGCUCUGCCAGGGAAAGGGGCCUCCCUCUCUGCACCUCUGAAUAGGCUGGCUCCACGCUAAAGCAUAAAGAGCACUUCAGUUAGUCUGUGACAAGAACAAAGGUAGAUGAGGACUCUAUUCUACAUGCAGCUGCACCAUUGUAGGAUUACAAAGAGUUUGUGGCUUGUAACCGAAUAAGGCCUUAAUCAUCCAGUAAAGGAAGGCCACAAGAAUAACAAGUCAAAAGACCAGAAUGCAACGAGGAAAGAAUGUCUGGUUCAAAAAACUAAUAAAACAGGAAGCUGCAAUAACCAAGACAAAGAAGAACCCUUCUCAAAAGCAAGCCCAGUUUUUUUCUCACAUACCAGUGCUAUCUUAAAGUGAGGCCUAUGUGUAACCAAUGGCAACAGAAGCAAAAAAACUACUGGUAAGCAAGGAGAGGGGAGGAGACAAAGAAAAAAGGCUUAGAGAAAAUAAACUGCU